rnacentral:lncRNA from 1 species
GGGGGGUGCUGCGGGGAAGGCGGGGGACCCGGGACUUCCAAGUGUCCAAAAACAAUCCAUUGAUACACUUGGUGACAUUAAUUGAGAAAAAAACAAUAUGGUCUGGCCAUGGAGGCAUGAUAUCCGUAACAUCCCCCAAAGGAGCUAAAGAAGAAAUCCACAAUUUACCAUGAGCAUUUCUCGUCUAAUGAUUGCCAAGCGAUUCCUCCAGGACAUUCCUCAAGGUGAAAACCAUCCAUUUCUUGGAGAAGUGCCACGGUGGGGUUGCAAGUCCCAGGAUCAAGAUUUCGAUGUGUCUCUUUUUCCCGUAAAGUGGCUGAAAUCUGAAGCUGAAUCUGCAAGUGUCAUGGAGUCAUUGAAUCUCACAGUCUCAACUGAUAAAAGUUAUUAA